rnacentral:rRNA from 1 species
GAUGAACGCUGGCGGCGUGCCUAAUACAUGCAAGUCGAGCGAACGGACGAGAAGCUUGCUUCUCUGAUGUUAGCGGCGGACGGGUGAGUAACACGUGGAUAACCUACCUAUAAGACUGGGAUAACUUCGAGAAACCGUAGCUAAUACAGGAUAAUAUUUUGAACAGCAUGGUUAAAAAGUGAAAGACGGUCUUGCUGUCACUUAUAGAUGGAUCCGCGCUGCAUUAGCUAGUUGGUAAGGUAACGGCUUACCAAGGCAACGAUGCAUAACCGACCUGAGAGGGUGAUCGGCCACACUGGAACUGAGACACGGUCCAGACUCCUACGGGAGGCAGCAGUAGGGAAUCUUCCGCAAAGGGCGAAAGCCUGACGGAGCAACGCCGCGUGAGUGAUGAAGGUCUUCGGAUCGUAAAACUCUGUUAUUAGGGAAGAACAUAUGUGUAAGUAACUGUGCACAUCUUGACGGUACCUAAUCAGAAAGCCACGGCUAACUACGUG